CGUCGUUAAGAUUCGUGGCGUCGACGUCCGUCUGUGAUUGAUCAGCGUACGUAUCCUUGUGCACAUAACAAUUGCCAGUCACAAAGUACAAGUCGUAGAAAAUUGCACUUUUGAUCGACUCUCUAUCUCCGUCAGGCGAAACACACCAAAAAAAAGUUCAAUCGAUGGAAAAUUGUUCCGGGAGUUAAAAGUGUGCUCGCCACGGUUCCUUAUUUUUCAUUUUACGGUCAGUUCAGGGAGUACGAAUUUUUCUUUUUUCAUUUUUUUAUCGUUCGUCAAUAUCGUAAUCGGAUACCGUCGAAUUUGUGAAAAUUAAUUUCUUGUGUUUUUCUCAUUAUUUCGUUCCGAUUGUGUGCUUAUGUAAAAAAGAAAGAAAAAAAAGUUAACGAACGUUUGUGUAUGAAAAUAACAUGGUCCCCCAGUUUGUUCUACAUUAAAAAAAAUAGAAACAAAAAUUAAGGUGAUUGCCACUUCUCAAUGAAAUUGCUUCCAAUUAUCCCAAUCUAGUCAAUUGAAUAAUAUUAUUUCUUGUGGAUGAAUCAAUAAAAAAAAGUCGUGGUUGAUUUGGUCGAGUUAAAAAUGAUUUUGUAACCAAACCAUCAAUGUCCCAUACAAAUAAAGUAACAAAUGCACCAAAUGAAAAAGAAAUUAAAGAAAUGCCUUAAAAUUGUUAAAACGUAAAAAAAGCUGAGAUAAAAUAAAUUGAAUGUAAACUUAGUGAAUAGUGAAUGUAAAAGUGAAAAAUAAAUAAAAAACGACAUCCAGUUAAGAAAUAUUUAACUUUUGAUUGAAUUAUUAAACCAGCAUAAAAAUUCCGACAAAAACGGCUUCACAAAAACCAACUUGGCGAAACCAAUCUAGGACCUCAGAUGUAACCGAAGAUGAAUACGGUGGCUCAGAGGAAGCUUCAUCGCGCAAGGGCAGAUUUCGUGUCACUUCAUCUUCCUCGUCAGGACCACCAGAGACAACACCCGGACGUUAUCGCUUAAAUCCACAAA